GAUGAACGCUAGCUACAGGCUUAACACAUGCAAGUCGAGGGGAAACGACAUCGAAAGCUUGCUUUUGAUGGGCGUCGACCGGCGCACGGGUGAGUAACGCGUAUCCAACCUGCCCACCACUUGGGGAUAACCUUGCGAAAGUAAGACUAAUACCCAAUGAUAUCCCACGAAGACAUCUGAAUGGGAUUAAAGAUUUAUCGGUGAUGGAUGGGGAUGCGUUUGAUUAGCUUGUUGGCGGGGUAACGGCCCACCAAGGCAACGAUCAGUAGGGGUUCUGAGAGGAAGGUCCCCCACAUCGGAACUGAGACACUGUCCAAACUCCUACGGGCGGCAGCAGUGAGGAAUAUUUGUCACUGGGCGAGAGCCUGACCCAGCCAAGUAGCGUGAAGGAAGACAGCCCUAUGGGUUGUAAACUGCUUUUAUAAGAGAACAAAGUGGCUCACGUGUGACUUUUUGCCUGUACCUUAUGAAUAAGGACCGGCUAAUUCCGUG
rnacentral:rRNA from 1 species